GAUUAAGUUAUUAAGGGCGCACGGUGGAUGCCUUGGCACUAGAAGCCGAUGAAGGACGUUACUAACGACGAUAUGCUUUGGGGAGCUGUAAGUAAGCUUUGAUCCAGAGAUUUCCGAAUGGGGAAACCCAGCAUGAGUUAUGUCAUGUUAUCGAUAUGUGAAUACAUAGCAUAUCAGAAGGCACACCCGGAGAACUGAAACAUCUUAGUACCCGGAGGAAGAGAAAGAAAAUUCGAUUCCCUUAGUAGCGGCGAGCGAAACGGGAAGAGCCCAAACCAACAAGCUUGCUUGUUGGGGUUGUAGGACACUCUAUACGGAGUUACAAAGGACGACAUUAGACGAAUCAUCUGGAAAGAUGAAUCAAAGAAGGUAAUAAUCCUGUAGUCGAAAAUGUUGUCUCUCUUGAGUGGAUCCUGAGUACGACGGAGCACGUGAAAUUCCGUCGGAAUCUGGGAGGACCAUCUCCUAAGGCUAAAUACUCUCUAGUGACCGAUAGUGAACCAGUACCGUGAGGGAAAGGUGAAAAGCACCCCGGAAGGGGAGUGAAAUAGAACCUGAAACCGUGUGCUUACAAGUAGUCAGAGCCCGUUAAUGGGUGAUGGCGUGCCUUUUGUAGAAUGAACCGGCGAGUUACGAUUUGAUGCAAGGUUAAGCAGUAAAUGUGGAGCCGUAGCGAAAGCGAGUCUGAAUAGGGCGUUUAGUAUUUGGUCGUAGACCCGAAACCAGGUGAUCUACCCUUGGUCAGGUUGAAGUUCAGGUAACACUGAAUGGAGGACCGAACCGACUUACGUUGAAAAGUGAGCGGAUGAACUGAGGGUAGCGGAGAAAUUCCAAUCGAACCUGGAGAUAGCUGGUUCUCUCCGAAAUAGCUUUAGGGCUAGCCUCAAGUGAUGAUUAUUGGAGGUAGAGCACUGUUUGGACGAGGGGCCCCUCUCGGGUUACCGAAUUCAGACAAACUCCGAAUGCCAAUUAAUUUAACUUGGGAGUCAGAACAUGGGUGAUAAGGUCCGUGUUCGAAAGGGAAACAGCCCAGACCACCAGCUAAGGUCCCAAAAUAUAUGUUAAGUGGAAAAGGAUGUGGCGUUGCCCAGACAACUAGGAUGUUGGCUUAGAAGCAGCCAUCAUUUAAAGAGUGCGUAAU
rnacentral:rRNA from 1 species